rnacentral:rRNA from 1 species
AACGAACGCUGGCGGCAUGCCUAACACAUGCAAGUCGAACGAUGCCUUCGUGCUUAUUGGCGCACGUGUGCGUAACACGUGGUAAUCUGCCUUUCGGUUCGGAGAACUUGACUUAGCGUUAACUUAAAGCGGAUAAGGUUACUACACCAAAGGAUUUUCCCCGGAAGGUGGGGCCGCGUAGGAUUAGGUAGUUGGUGAGGUAAAUGCCAACCAAGGCGACGAUCCUUAGCUGGUUUGAGAGGAUGAUCCUCCACAAUGGGACUGAGACACGGGCCAAACUCCUACGGGAGGCAGCAGUGGAGAAUAUUGGACACUGGGCGCUAGUCUGAUCCAGCCACGCCGCGUGAGUGAUGAAGGCCUUAGGGUUGUACAGCUCUUUUACCCGGGAAGAUAAUGACGGUAACGGGAGAAUAAGCCCCGGCUAACUACGUG